UAUAUCUCCAUCCAUUUUUAUUUACAAUAUCCAUAUUGGACAUUGGUCACUCCUUCUCCUCCACCCCCUAAAUCUGUAAAAUUAGCAAUAACAUGGAAUUCAGCACUAGGCGAAGCUCUCCACAACUUGUCCAUCAUAAAUGCUUCCCUCUCUGAGGUCCAAGAAAGUGCUUCUCAUAGUGCAUUUGAUUGAACCAAUCUCCAGGCUCAGAGUGCAUGCGUACACAGUGUCAGGGAGUGUGAGAUGGACAGAAGAGGGGAUUAUAUUUAAAAAAAAUAAAAUUCAAUCAUAAUGUAGGGAGGCAGAAAGUGCUGGGAGAAAUAUAGAAGCUUCCCCUUCAGACAUGCCCACAACGCUGCCUGCAAGAGUAGAGGCUGAUUACCCCUAUCGCCAGUGCGUGCUGACAGGCUUAAUUUUUGCACAGAAUUCACAUUAGGCAGCUCAGAAUAGAGUGCCAAGCUGCUUAAAUCACAUGUGCAAUGGGCACACAAGUCCAGAUUAUUCUGUAUAAUCAGUGUUUCAAGCUGAAAUGUUGCACAUACAGAUUACUUUUCUCCGUGAACACUUGUAAAAGCAGAAGUAGUCAUGGAGGUUAGAGUAACCCUUUAACGCUAUAGUCUGCAGCACUACACCAGGUACACAUACAGGUUUAUUUAAAAAAAACAGAAAUAGACAACUUUCAAAAGUAUGUCCAAAUAGCCUAGUAAGGGACUUUUUUUCUCCAAAUUGCUUAAUUUUCUUCUAAAUGUUGGUUGUCCGCUAACUGCCUGAUAAAUUUGUUUUCAGCUUUAAAGCUAGCCUGCUAGGAGCACUUGAGGACAGAAUUGAGAAACCCUGAUUUACAGUAUAACCUCAAGGCAUUCAUUCUCUGCACAAGUAUAUGGCUUCUUAAUACAAAAUCUCUGGUUUGGAGUCUCAUUUUUAUGCUGUGCCCUGUCUGGAGGUAAAGGGCGGGGGAUAAACGGCACCAUUAGUUCUGAACUUAGAAAUAAUUUUUAAUAAUGGUACAUUUAGAUGAACUACCAAGUAGAAUUGCCCCAUGCAAUAACUCAUAGAGCCAUUAAAUAUAUAUAUUUUUUUUUUUAAACAAAAUUUACUCUUAAAUUAUCUAUCAUAUCAAUCACCGCCAUUUCUCCUUCUCUCAGGCUCUGGUUUUGAAUCCUUUAGUCUUAUAUUACUAUUGGUUUCCAAAGCCUUUAUUCCUCUUGUAUGACCGUUUACUUUUUUUUCACCCUAAACUAUUUGUAUUCUAAACAGUUAAAGAUUAUUAUGUAGAUUGAUUUUAACAAGAAAAAAAAAUACAACUUUAAUUUGGAUGAAAACUUGUAUUGGAGUAUUUGUGUUCUAGUGGUAACUCAAGGUAUCUUUGGGUCAAAAAUAUUAGUGUUGAU